ensembl:lncRNA
AGAUAAAGACCAGCAACGUCCAGACCCAGCAUCAUCUGGUCUCAGAAAGUGCAAGAGAGCUGGAAUUGGACACACCCCAGUAAGAGAGCUUCCUGAAGAAUAAGUUGCUUUCUCAGGAGUCCCUGAUGACAAACAUCCUGAAUGAAAACAGCACUUGAGAGACAACUUGGGGGACCUCCUUUCAUUAUGUGUGCAAGAGGAGAAACAGCAAUACAUCUGUGCUUCUAAAUGUUCGUUAAGAUUGUGCUGUUUAGAAAUAUUUUUGUUAUGAUUUUAAUUGAAAUUUUCUUUUUGUUGUUUCAUAUUUAUAUGUUCUUGUUACUGUUUUUAUGUUUUCAAAUAUUUUUAAAUAUUUUAAUUUAUUUGUUUUAAUCCUG